GGGUCUGUGAGGUAUGGAGUGGUCCUACAAGGGUCUGUGGGAUAUAGGGUGGCCCUAUAGGGAUUUGUGAGGUACAGAGUGGCCCUAUAUGGGUCUGUGGGAUUAUGGGUGGCCCUACAGGGGUCUGUGGGAUACGGGGUGGCCCUACAGGGGUCUGUGACAUAUGGAGUGGCCCUAUAGGGAUCUAUGAGGUACAGAGUGGCCCUAUAUGGGUCUGUAGGAUAUGGGGUGGCCCUACAGGGGUCUGUGACAUAUGGAGUGGCCCUAUAGGAAUCUGUGAGGUACAGAGUGGCCCUAUAUGGGUCUGUGGGAUAUGGGGUGGCCCUACAGGGGUCUGUGAGGUACAGAGUGGCCCUAUAUGGGUCUGUAGGGUAUGGGGUGGCCCUACAGGGCUCCAUAGGGCACAGGUUGGCCCUGUGGUGCUGGCAGGCUCUCAGUGCCGCUCAC